UGGGCAGAGCUGGGCUCAGGAUCUUUUACCAGGCAUGGGCCCUUAUGAGAGAGAAGCCUGUGAAAACCUGGUAUACUGUGGAAAAGACAGAAUUAGAGGGCAUGUGUGAAUCCUUGCUGAUGAAGGGGAAGACGGUCAAACUGAGAUCAAAUAAGGAACCAACAACAGUGAGGAACAACAGUAUAAAGAACAAAAACAGAGUGCCGAAGGCUCCUGAGGAGAGUGGUCUGUGGUUAAGAUGAGAUUUACCACCAUUCUGAGAGACAUCUUGUCUACCAUGCAGCAUCCUGAGGUUCUGUGAAGCAGCCACAGAGCCUAAUAGGAAGACAAAGCUGAUGUGGUUGUCAAGGCUUUCAGUAGACAUGAGUACUUUUAUAGACCCAAGUGAGAAUGUGCUGGAUGUAGGAGCCAGGCUAGGUUACACAUUUUAAUUUUUACUGCAAGACCUCAUGGUUUAUUUACAAAUCCUAAAUUCUUUCACUUCCAGGUUUAAAACUUUUACUCUGAGGAUAUAAUCCACAGCCUAGCACCUUUAAAGAAACUCUCCCACAGACUUGCUGCUUCCAUAGAAUGGAAAAUUGGAGCAUGGUUUACAAGACAGUGAAAACCAAGCAGUAUUCCAAGAUAUCAGCUCCAGAAAGCUACAGUAACUGUCUUGGGACUAGAAAGAAUGAUUAAACAGUUCCCAGUCCAGCAAGAAGCAUCUGUCUUUUGUCAUCUUCUCCAUGCAACAUAAAAUGUGCAGAGGAAGGCAGUCAUGCCAACAGGGGUGACAGAGGUCAGUUGUUGGUAACAUUUUCCACUGUUCUCUUACAACUGAAACCUCAAAUCCCAUUACAGCCCAACUGCCUGUCAGCUAUGAUAAUGACAGAUGCAGGCCAAA